GACGAACGCUGGCGGCGUGCUUAACACAUGCAAGUCGAACGGUGACCUCGAGAGCUUGCUCUCGGGCGAUCAGUGGCGAACGGGUGAGUAACACGUGAGUAACCUGCCCCAGACUCUGGAAUAACCCCGGGAAACCGGAGCUAAUACCGGAUACGAGACGGAGUCGCAUGGCUACCGUCUGGAAAGUUUUUCGGUCUGGGAUGGACUCGCGGCCUAUCAGCUUGUUGGUGAGGUAACGGCUCACCAAGGCGACGACGGGUAGCCGGCCUGAGAGGGCGACGGGCCACACUGGGACUGAGACACGGCCCAGACUCCUACGGGAGGCAGCAGUGGGGAAUAUUGCACAAUGGGCGAAAGCCUGAUGCAGCGACGCAGCGUGAGGGAUGACGGCCUUCGGGUUGUAAACCUCUUUCAGCAGGGAAGAAGCGAAAGUGGCGGUACCUGCGGAAGAAGCACCGGCUAACUACGUGCCAGCCGCCGCGGUAACAC
rnacentral:rRNA from 1 species